rnacentral:tRNA from 1 species
UAUAGCUCAGUGACAGAGCACUUGCUUAGCAUGCACGAGGCCCUGGAUUCAAUUUCCAGUA